GACGAACGCUGGCGGCGUGCCUAACACAUGCAAGUCGAGCGAGAGCCUGGGAGCUUGCUCCCAGGGGACAGCGGCGAACGGGUGCGUAACACGUGGGCAACCUGCCCCUCUCUCUGGGAUAACCCCGGGAAACCGGAGCUAAUACCGGAUACUCCGGCACGAUCGCGUGAUCGGGCCGGGAAAGGUCCGCCGGAUAGGGAUGGGCCCGCGGCCUAUCAGCUUGUUGGUGAGGUAACGGCUCACCAAGGCGACGACGGGUAGCUGGUCUGAGAGGACUACCAGCCUCACUGGAACUGAGAUACCGUCCACACUCCUACGGGAGGCACCGGAGGGGAAUAUUGCGCAUUGGGCAAAAGCCUGACGCAGCGACUCCGCGUGUGGGAUGAAUGCCUUCAGGUUGUAAACCCCUUUCGGCUGGGACGAAGCGAUCGAGACGGUACCUGCACAAAAAGUACCGGCUAACUACGUG
rnacentral:rRNA from 1 species